rnacentral:lncRNA from 13 species
CUUUUGUUCUUCAGUUUCCCAGUGCAGACUUACAGGCCAGACUGCAGAAAAGAUGGGCAGACAGCUCUCCAGCUCAGCUACCUGGUAGUGUGAAGUAGCUGUAAUGUUGGCUUAACCCAUGGCUGAAAGACUCCUCUGUUGACAGAAGGUCACCAGGAUGGCACUUCUGCUGCCUGGAAAGGCUUCUGCUUUCCUGUUCUGUCCAAGCAUCCUUUCCUGAGCAAAAAACCACGUGCUGGAGCCAGGGUGUGAAGUCUCUGAAAAACUGACCACCCAGUGCUUUGAGUCUGUUCAACAGGAACACCAGCAGCUCUGGAUUUAAUGAUUUUGCUCUUAAAUGUGCAUGCAAGGAGAGAGGAAGCAGCUUCACGGUGUGAUUUAUGACUGCAGCUCCCAAACAAACCCUUGCAAUGGCAAUGCAUUAAAGGAGUUGGGCAGGGAACCAAAGCCGUGGACAGUGAAGAGUGGAUCUAGCUGCAUUUAAUUUAGCUUACAUUUCUCACUGAACAAAGGUGACAGUGGUAAAGCAUCUUUUUUCCCCUCUACUACAUGUGCAGCAUGCAUCUUUGAAAUGCAUCACUCUUCCCAUUUCUAUUUCUUUCUGGGAAUGGUUCUUGCACACUUCUCUUCCAAGACUGUCCUUCAGGAGGUUUGCAUUUAUGAACCCUUGGGGAAAAGUGUUGCCUGGGACUAGAUUUGAGAAAUGUGGACCAAGCCAAACAUGGCAGUUUUCCAGCCUGUAACUGUAUUAUAUUUUAAGGCAAAAUGAUUUUACAGUAGUUAUGCAAUAAACAUAUGUAAUGUAUACAUGUACAACUUGUGUAAUUCAUCAGGCAUUUGAAGCAGAGCAAUUUGGAAUAAAAAGUUGGCUCUCACCUUAAAACUAAAGGAAAUAAUAUUGAGUAAAACAAAGAAAAAAGCUUAUGCACUAAACUUUGGAAGUCUGCAAACCCAUUCUGAGGAGCAUGCCCAUGUCUUCAUGACACAGUGCAUUACUGUCAGCAUGUUCUAAAUAUCAUCAUGACUUCCAGCUCAGGAUAUGAAAAUUGGUCUUUCUAAUAAAAGCAAAAGAAACAUCUUGUGAAAUUAAUUUGUUGCCAUUUUGAUAUGCUGGAUAUUCUAUGGGAAACAUUCGUUUAAAUUUCAGUUGUUCCACAGACUGUACACAGAAAAAAAUGACUGCAGUGUAUUAACAUAAAUCAUCACAAAAGUCAGAAGUUGGAUUUACUAAGUUUUCUUGAAGCCCCUUGGAAAAUGUGCUGAUUUUUGUUUCCGAGAGCUUGUACUGCUCUGGGUGAGUGAUAUCACAUGUGGUGGUGAGAGCCAUAUAAUUAGUGUGUGUUUCUCAGGCAUCUUUGACCACUCAUCUGUCUCUUCCAGAACUGCCUUUCAUUUUCUGAAGUUACCACUGGGGUUUUUUUUAAACUUUGCUUUUAUUUUUCUCCUCUGAGCACUUGCAAGCUUUCCCAACAUGCCUCACUUGUUUUGUAACAUAAAGAGCACAUCAUAUCGGAUUAUUGACUUCUCAUUGGGAUGAGUGUCAUAUUGAAAGUUAUUUUGAAUGAUUCCUAGGAAACAGUUCUCAACAUAUCUUUUUCAGUAAAUUUUCCUGUCUCCCAAGGAUAUUUUCAUGUACUGAUUGUUGUCAUAAUUUUUAUCUUUCUGUUUCUGUUGAGUUUUUAUUGUAUUGUCCAAUAUAUGAUUAUAUAAAC